GGCUCUUUAAGCGCACAUACGCAUCGUCGCUAGGAGCCUCACUUGAGCCAUGAGUCUAUCUUUUGUAGAUAAAGCUCGAACCAGAUUGAUGAACCUUAACCAAAAUUAAACUGCAAACAAAAUUAAUAUUCUUCAGUUUCAAAAAAUUAAUAUGCAGAUGAUAAGAGCUAAAUAUGCAUUGUCGCUAGGAGUCUCGGAUGUCUCGCCCG
rnacentral:lncRNA from 1 species